rnacentral:rRNA from 1 species
UAAGAGUUUGAUCAUGGCUCAGGACGAACGCUGGCGGCGUGCUUAACACAUGCAAGUCGAACGGAAAGGCCCUUUCGGGGGUACUCGAGUGGCGAACGGGUGAGUAACACGUGGGUGAUCUGCCCUGCACUCUGGGAUAAGCCUGGGAAACUGGGUCUAAUACUGGAUAGGACCAUGGGAUGCAUGUUCUGUGGUGGAAAGCUUUUGCGGUGUGGGAUGGGCCCGCGGCCUAUCAGCUUGUUGGUGGGGUGAUGGCCUACCAAGGCGACGACGGGUAGCCGGCCUGAGAGGGUGUCCGGCCACACUGGGACUGAGAUACGGCCCAGACUCCUACGGGAGGCAGCAGUGGGGAAUAUUGCACAAUGGGCGCAAGCCUGAUGCAGCGACGCCGCGUGGGGGAUGACGGCCUUCGGGUUGUAAACCUCUUUCAGUAUCGGCGAAGCUUGCGGGUUUCUCGCAGGUGACGGUAGGUACAGAAGAAGCACGGCAAUA